rnacentral:lncRNA from 1 species
CGCAAAGUAGGCACCCUCCCCUCCAGAGCCCACAUAUGUUUUUAUGGAAAAGAUACAUUAGAGUUCUGUGGCCGAGAGGGAAAGAAGCUCUUCCUCAAAUCGCUAGCUCUGGAGAGACGGGCCUUUUCUACCAGUUAGAAAAUGGAGCCCCACCACCUUGGCCUUCAUCAGUUUGAAGACUUCACCUGAGCACACAGUCCAUCCCGCGUCCUCUCUACCUUGGCUCACAGCAUCAGUUUCCUGUUUCCGGUCCAGGGAAAAUUCCCAUCAUCCCAACCAGGGUGAAGAGGCGCGAACGGGAUCAUGGGAGAGUGUAAAAUGGCGUCGCCCAUGGUGGUGCCGCAGAGCGUCAGAAGUCUGUUGAGUGAGGCCUGCGGUAAACUUUACCGCAGACUUCCAGACUCAUGAGUUGUGUGAGCAAGCCUACUCACGUUCUGCUUUUAUUCUAUCUGGCGCUUUUUAAAGGAUCUUCUGCAAAGCUGUCGGAGCCCUAACAGCUAAUUGACAAUAACAGCAAGUGCAAGGCGGCAAAGCCGGCUUGUUAAAUGACCCAGGUAAAGGAAACGUUAAGUUCUGUGUGCUGAGGUGCCUAUUACAUGGGAGGCGCAAUUUAAGCUCAGAGAGGUUGAACAACAAACCCCAGGUCACAAAGUUUCCAAAUGGCAGAGACAGGAUGAAAACCUUAGUCGGUUUGUUACCGGGGUCCUUGCUUUUUUAACCACAUACCUUAAGAAGGAAUGAUAUUCCAGCCUGUGAAAUUGUGUGUUCUCACUGGGAGGUCAGAGAAUAAAGAAAUCACUGAACCCCUGAAUUCAAAAGCUCAAACAGGGUCAUUAUUGUGAAGAACUAAGGAAGUUAUAUCCUGCAAUGAAUAGUUCUGUGCAUUGUGGUUUUCUAAUGGGAGGCACACAGGCAGAGCGGAGGUG